GCAACGCUAACGUUAGUUUAAAAUGAAUGUUUGAGCUGUCUUACCUGAAAAUACCAUGAUAUGACCAUAUGGUUAUUAUAACUCCAGUAAUGUUCAAUGGCUAAUGUUUAUAUCAGUUCAAUCUUGACAACCUUAUUGUCUUUUUGUAUAUUUUUAAAUGUAUUUCUAAUUACAUAUGGACACAAAAAUGACAUUGUAAGAAGGGAUACUUUUAUGAGAGAUUGUAAAACUGCCGAGGCUGGGUUUGAUUAUAUUAUAUUGUCUUAAUAUAUUGUACUCGGGGUAAGUAAAUCUUAAAACGAAAAAAAUCAUUAAUCAUCAUUUACCUGCCUGUUGUUUUUCAGAUCAACUGCUAUUGACAUUUUUGAAUCGGGGCAAAUGUGGAGUGAAGAAAAACGUUUGCAACACAUCCAUUCCAGAGUGCUCUGACAGAUAAAACUGACACGCUUGAUGAGGACACAGUCAAGCUUUAAAAGCCCGUGUGAUAAAGCAGUCUUCAAUUACUACGGUGUCUGAAUUGCAAGAAGAAGUCACCCUCCACUUAAACAUGUGACAUCUAAACUGUUUUGUGUUUUAGUUCAGCUUUUUAUAGGUUUAUCUUAAGUUGGUUAAA